CGACCUGAAAGUGAGUGGUUCUCCUGAAGAACCAGCUGGCAUAGGUAAGACAGAGACCACUGAAGAUUUAGGCUGUGCCCUUGGUAUGAUGGUGUACAUCUUCAGCUGUUCAGAAUACAUGGAUGACAAGAACCUGUGGCAUGGCUGUCCCUGACAUUGAACUGAUCUCUGAAAUUACGUUGGUUGCUGAAGGGUUUAUUGAUGCGUGUCUGUUAGCUAGGAAGUUUAUCACCUUGUAACCACUCUGCUGGGAGCUGCUCCCUGAACAGGCAAUCUUUGUUCACACAUCUGAGACUGCACAUCUCCAAUACUGUAUUGAUUUACUCAUAACAAAAGGCAAACCAGUCUUACUUGUUGGAAGUGCUGGAGUAGGAAAAACAGAGUUUGUAGGCAAUAGAGUUGGUGCUCUCUCUGAAGACCAACAUCCCUUUCAGCUACCACCACGACAUC